rnacentral:lncRNA from 1 species
GUGAUCUCAUCUGACAAUCACUACCAUGGCAACCAAGCCUCUGUGACGUUCCAGCAAGCUCAUUGUCUUCUCUUCACUAAACUUUAGUUAGUAGUUGGUCCCAGUCAGUAACACUCUGGGAGGGCUCAGGCCACAUCACGAAAUGUGACAGGAUAGCCUUGAACUCAUCAAUUGCUGGGGGCACCUCAAACUCAACUCCAAAAUUGAUCUAAUGAACUUUCCCAAACCACAUUCCCUUCUUGCAUUUCUGAGAGAAUGGAUUCCCAUUCAUCUGACUACAGUGCUACCCUGAAAGCAGAUCCAGAGACUAAGAUUCACCUGCAGGUGAUUCAUUUGCAAGGUAAGCUGUCAUCAGUUGGAGGUAAGCGGAAGACAGUAGAGAGUACAGAGCCCUGGACUGUGACUCAGAGGAUGAGCACCAGAUCCAGUUUGCUGUGCCACAGUGUCCUGAAGAUUUUCCUCAGAUAAUCUUUCAUCUCUUUGUUCCUGAGACUAUAUAUUAGAGGAUUACAGAGUGGUGUUAUCACAGAAAAGAACAAGUGGAUUUUUAUCUGAGAUCUACAACUUAUGAAGAAUACAAAUGAUGUAUAUUCUUUUCUACUCUUCAUGUAUGGACUAGAGGGGCUUGCACAGUAGUAAGAAAAAAAUGGCUGAGACCCACAGGAACAAAGAAACAGGACAGGAGUUAGAUGCAGAGAAGAGAUUUCAACAAAAGUUUGGAAAAGAUGCUAACGGUAGCAUAUGAGUCACAGACAGAACAUUGGCACCUUUGUUUAAGAAACUGAAUGUUAAUGUCACAUCUGCCUUUGGAGAUUACAAAUGAAAUGGCUACCUUUCUACUGGAACCCUGACCAGAAGUCUGCCAGUUAGUAAGCUGGCUUAAGAGAUCAAUCUAAAAUUUACAUAAGGCUUUUGAAAAAAAGAAAAAAACUCAAGAGAAUUGACAUCUGGUGUUAAAAAACAAAAAAUCAUACAAAUGACUGAUAUGUAUCAUUUUCCUUAUUAAAUAUGGAAGAAAGGGGAGGAGGAUGCAGAAAUGGUUGGCUAAAAGCUCCAGAGAAAAACUUAACAGAUUUUAUGAUUUUGCGGAAGUGUGUCAUCAUGGCCAGAAACUGAUCAAUCCACGAAUUAGCU